rnacentral:rRNA from 1 species
GUGGGGAAUAUUGGACAAUGGCCGAAAGCCUGAUCCAGCCAUGCCGCGUGUGUGAAGAAGGUCUUCGGAUUGUAAAGCACUUUAAGUUGGGAGGAAGGGCAGUAAGUUAAUACCUUGCUGUUUUGACGUUACCGACAGAAUAAGCACCGGCUAACUCUGUGCCAGCAGCCGCGGUAAUACAGAGGGUGAAAGCGUUAAUCGGAAUUACUGGGCGUAAAGCGCGCGUAGGUGGUUCGUUAAGUUGGAUGUGAAAGCCUCGGGCGCAACCUGGGAACUGCAGCCAAAACUGGCGAGCUAGAGUACGGUAGAGGGUGGUGGAAUUUCUUGUGUAGCGGUGAAAUGCGUAGAUAUAGGAAGGAACACUAGUGGCGAAGGCGACCACCUGGACUGGUACUGACACUGAGGUGCGAAAGCGUGGGGAGCAAACAGGAUUAGAAACCCCAGUAGUCC